GACGAACCGUGCGAACGUUGUUCGGAAUCACUGGGCUUAAAGGGCGCGUAGGCGGGCGAGCAAGUCGAAGGUGAAAUCCCACGGCUCAACCGUGGAAGUGCCCCCGAUACUGCUCGUCUGGAGGGAGAUAGGGGCGUGCGGAACUUCCGGUGGAGCGGUGAAAUGCGUAGAUAUCGGAAGGAACACCGGUGGCGAAAGCGGCACGCUGGAUCUCUUCUGACGCUGAGGCGCGAAAGCCAGGGGAGCAAAC
rnacentral:rRNA from 1 species